rnacentral:ribozyme from 1 species
UGAAAAAAAAAAUACACACACAGACACAAUUGAGGCAAUACAACCAUAGUUCAACCAUUUAUAUUUCUUCACCUUUCUCUUAAUGAUUUUCCUUCCUUUCCCCUUUGGUACAAUCACUUA